rnacentral:rRNA from 1 species
GACGUAGGGCGCGAGCGUUGUCCGGAUUUAUUGGGCGUAAAGAGCUCGUAGGCGGCUUGUCGCGUCGUCUGUGAAAUCCCGCGGCUCAACUGCGGGCUGGCAGUCGAUACGGGCAGGCUGGAGUUCGGUAGGGGAGACUGGAAUUCCUGGUGUAGCGGUGAAAUGCGCAGAUAUCAGGAGGAACACCGGUGGCGAAGGCAGCUCGCUAGGACGGUACUGACGCUGAGACGCGAAAGCGUGGGGAGCGAACAGG